rnacentral:lncRNA from 1 species
GCUCAGUAGUUUAGUUCGCCUGCGAGUGCCGAACCGUUCGGUUGUAUUUGCGGCUGUGUUCUCGCGGUUUUUCAUCCGCGUCGUGUGGGUUGAUUAGUGGCCUCUGCUGUCUUUUUUGCCUUUGCUGGUGGCUGCAUUUUGCACCUCCCCUCUGUCAAGUUCAAGAGUCAGUGAGUGUUUUAUGUAUCUGCGAGGAACUCCCAGCCAAAAAGGGAAAACUAUUUCGAAAGAAGGAAAACCUACGCUAUUUCGGGGCUUGUUUGGUGUCAGGUGCCAGCGGAGGAAGCGAUUUGUGCAAAGCAAUUAGGUAUUGUGCAGAGUUUUUGUUGAGAAAAGUGCAGCCAAGUGGGAUAGAAAAAAGUGUAUAUAAAACCCCUCUGUGAAGUGCCGCGAUGCAAAGAAGAAAGCAAAAAUAACCAAAGGAGAAGAAGAAAAGGAUUGCAGAUUUUUGGCCGGGGUGUUUUCUCUGCUCAGCGCGUUCAGUUCGAUUAAGUCAGAGUAGCUAUAUAAAGUGAACGCCCGCGAGUGAUGCAAGAUUUGCAAAUUAGGUAGCGAUUGGUUUCGUUGACAAUAUUCAGUCAUCGGAGUUCCAGCGAUAGAACAUUAUACCUAGCGGAGAACAUCGGCAGGCUCCCUGGGGAAUCAGUUUAUUGGUCGCCCAUUGCAUCUAGUGUUUCGUAAUAAAUAGCGUUGAACAUCGCCGAACUACGCACAAUCAUCGGAUCCAGCAAAUAACCACCCAUCCAACCGGUCGUCGACGAAGCACAUACAGAAAACGCUUGGAGAAAAUAUAAAUCACCCGGCAGGCAACCAGCAAAAGUGACGGGAUCGUUUCCCAACGCAAUCCUCUGACGCCAGAAGCAAAGCAAAGCAAUUGCUGAAUGAAAAGUGAAAUUCCCAUUGGAAAUAGUGAAAUAGCGACGGCUACAGUGUGCUGUGGCAUUGGUUCGUUACCAUGUGUACCUGUUGAGCGCUGUAAAGUGUAGUGGCAGCAGCAAGUGAACCAAGAAGAAAGGUGAAAAAUAAGCACGAAAGUGAAGGAAAACAGUGCGCUGCCAUUCACCACGCCUCACCCCUCACGUUGAUCCACACUUAAAGUGGGGUCGGUCAGGUGGAAUUGUGGCCGCCCUCUCGCCCUUUGGUUCGCGGUAAUUAGUGCUGCUAUUAGACAGCACCACGUGGCCUCCGGGUUUCAUAAGUUGGCUGUGUGCGAAGGGGGGGAUGCCGCCAAGUGUGUGAUGGGAGUGAUCUUUCGACGCUUCCCGUGUACGUCCCAUCCAGCGAGCUGCGUAGAACCACUGUAAUUGCUGUAUCAGCAUCACGCAACGCACCCGUAGAAAAAAACUGUAGAAGUAGCUCUGCUUAGCCUAUAAGGUAGGUGCAACUCGUGGUCGAUA